AAAUGCAAAAUGGCCGCGUGGUGUUCCCUCGAAGAGCCAUGUAAGCGACGCCGCGAUGGUUUCCUUCUCCUAUUGGGCCGCAGCAGCAGCCGAGGUGACAUCCUGUGUUGAAGCAUGGAACUGUGAUGUUGAAAGCCCUUUGCCAAGUAGGAAGUUCCUCGAGGUUUUGUGGAAGAAGUCUUGCUCGGGAUGAACAAUACCGGCGCUGAACCCAAUCUGGAAAGGGCCCGCCGAGUUUCUACAGCAGUUCGAUUAUAUUAUCGGCACAUCGACAAUGGCUUCUGGUUUGAACCCACGUAGUGUGGCAUUUUGUCAUGCAAUUGAGGGGCUAGGAAAAGCUAGCCGGAUUCCAGAACCUACAAUUUGAUGUUCUCUAACUUCAUAUCGAUUGGAGAUUUAGAUGUAUGACACAGAUACGAUACUUGAUACCGAAUUGAUUAGUGUGUUUGGCGUUCCUCAAAAUUAGAAGAGUGGCAGAUGCACUUGAAUUAACUGAUGAUAUGCUUGGCCGAGGAGUUUUGCCCAACUUUGGGAUGAUUAAGCUUAGUUGAGACUACAUGCAGACUUACCUGAAAGUCAAAAGCAUACCUCUGAAUGCUAAUUCACAAAGCUAUUGGCUUCCCCGAGUCUAUUCACCAGUAUCCUUUAUUCCUCAAUCAAGAUAAUGUUUGGCUUAUAAAUUGAAUGGAUGAUUAUGGUCAGCCAUGAAACAAUCUCAAUUUCCUUGGCCGCUAUCUGCAGAGUCAUGAUAGAUAGCCUUGGCUUCCAGGAAAAAGCAGCAAGGCAAUCAAAAGUACCAUCAGCUUAUUUGAUGCAGCUUAAACGAUGCAUGAAGAAUCAUCUGGUAAACAUGAAGUAGAACUUGGAUAUGUUUGAAUAGUUAUAAUCUAUGUUGAUGACACCCCAAAACAAAUAAACAAGUGACAGAUGAUAUAAUUUUCCCGUUGAAAAAUGAAGAUAUAGCAGGGUACUGAAAAGAUGUU